rnacentral:lncRNA from 1 species
GGUGACUAAGGUAACUAGGAACCAUAAAUCUACUGUCCACUCUCUGGCACAGCCCCAGGGGUGCACACAUGGAAGUCACAUAACAAGUGGUCAUGGGCUAAUACCUAAGUUCAAGACAUGAACCUUCAGCUUCUGCUCCACCUGCCUGCUGCCGUGGUCCCCUGCCAUGAUGGAUGCUAAACCCUCUGGAAGCAGAAGGAAAAGCAACUUUUUCUCCUAUUAGUUGCCUUGGUUUUUGCAUUUGAUCACAAUAGUAAAAAAAGAAACUAAUACAAUACUCUUUAGCUAGUCAGAUCCUCACCGACUGACAGAGCGGCAUUCUAUGCACUGCAGACAGAUUUGACUUUGAGGGAUACUUUAACAGAAAUCAGGGAUAGUCCGAUGGUUAAGAGCACUUGCUGUUCUUGCAGAGGAUCUGGGCUCAUUUCCCAGCACCCAUAUAUAGGGUGGCUUACAACCAUGCAUAACAGUUCCGGGGGAUCUAGCACCCUCUUCUGGCCUCUGUAGGCACCAGGCACAGAUGAGGUACACAUACAUGCACUCAUACACA